GACGAACGCUGGCGGCGUGCUUAACACAUGCAAGUCGAACGGAGUGGCGAACGGGUGAGUAACACGUGGGUGAUCUGCCUUUCACUUCGGGAUAAGCUUGGGAAACUGGGUCUAAUACCGGAUAGUGCAAGAUGAGCUCGCGGCCUAUCAGCUUGGUGGUGGGGUAAUGGCCUACCAAGGCGUCGACGGGUAGCCGGCCUGAGAGGGUGUAUGGCGACAUUGGGACUGAGAGAGGGCCCAGUCGUGUACGGGAGGCAGCAGUGGGGAAUAUUGCACAAUAGGCGGAAGCGUGAGGCGGAGACGCUGCGUGGGGGAUGAAGGCCUUCGGGUGGUAAACUCCUUUGGACAGGGACGCGGUACCUGUAUAAGAAGCACCGGCUAACUACGUGCCAGCAGCCGCGGUAAUUC
rnacentral:rRNA from 1 species